UACAUUCAGGUCUUUGAUCCAUUUUGAGUUUACUUUUGUGUAUGGGGUUAGACAAUAAUCCAGUUUCAUUCUCUUACAUGUAGCUGUCCAGUUUUCCUGCCUCCCUCUUAAAAGGAGUUAUGUGAUUACAUUGGGUCCACCCAGAUCAUCCCUCAUCUCAAAAUCCUUAAUUUAAUCACACCUGCAACGUUCCUUUUACCAUAUAAGGUCAGGAAACAGGCUCAGAGAGGGAGAAGAAACUGCCUGCGGAGCUAUGAUGACUUCAUGGUUGACUUGGGAUUUGAACUUCUGUCUUCUACAUUUCUGCCUUGGACACUCAGAAAUAAUCAGGAAACUAACUAUCAAAGGCUGUUAAAAGGACUUGGAAGCCAACCUGAAGAUGGUGUAAUGGUGUAAUUCCAGCUGCAACAAAGUGAAGAAAAGCACACAGUGAGACUCAGAGAGGUUACCUGUGGCCACACAGAAGAGAGUAGAGCACUGGUUUUGAAGCCAGGCAGUCCGGCUCCCAGCCUGUGCUCUCGUGCACAGAGUGCGCACCUCAGCAUUUCUUACAUGGUGCCCACUGCCCUGUUUGCAACCUCUCCCAGGGUCUGAGAUCUCGGCCUGGCUGAAGCAUUUCCAAAACAGGGCCUGGGAAGGUGGAUUUGUUCGACAUGCUGAUUGCAGCAGGAUGGAGAAUUCUCCAAAAGAAGCCUGGGAAGUGAAUAUUCCAGAAUGCCCUAGAGCUUGUUUCAUUAGGUAGACAAGUAGUAUGGGUGCCUUGGGAACCUCUGGAGUUCUUUAUGGGGUCAGUACUCCCACCCCAGUAGAUGUUUCAAUUGUUGGUUUCCAAUAGCUUACUGUUUCUCCUUCUCCUGAGUAUCAUGACCUUGGAAGGCACUUCACCCAAAAAGUUCUCCCCCUCACCCACAGAGUGGCUUGCAUUAGAUGGCCAGCUUAUGCAGAGGUAUAAAGGCUGGCCUCCUUGCAAGACUUGACCUGAGACUAUAUCUUUGCUUGGUUCUCUCCCCUAAUAAAUCACAUGUGCCUAAUCCCUGCCUCAGGCUCUGUUUCCAGGGAACCCUACUGAAGAUAGCCCUGAGCCUCAGGAAGUGCUUUUGUGAGUGGGCCUUUUUGCUAGCCCUGAGCCACGUGCUCCAUUAGCAAGAUUCUGGACCCAAAACCAGACUGAUCUAGGUUCACAUCCCAAUACAACUGCCUAACUGCUGUGUAAUCUUGGCCAAUGACUGGUUACUACACCUCAGUUUUCUCAUCUGUAAAAUGAAAGAAAAACACUUACCUCACAGGGCUUUGUAAGGAUCAACUGCAACAGUGCUGCUAUUGCUAUUCCUCCAGACUAACAGCACCCGUUCCCUGCAAAGGAAGCGGCUUUUACCAUCUAGUUUGAAGAUGUGCUCUGGGGUAGGUCUCCAGACAAAGGGAUGGCUGGGGUUCAAUUGCAAUAA